rnacentral:pre_miRNA from 1 species
AGAAAAGCUGGCCAAGACCUGGUCCCAGCAGAUUGAGAAGAGCACCUCAGUGGUCACCUCACAGUUUGCUGAGGUCGGAGCUGCUAAAUCA